rnacentral:rRNA from 1 species
GUUAAAAUUCCGUAACCGAGAUGUAGAUUCUGAACGGCAACGUAAAUGAACUUGGAGACGCCGGUGAGGGCCCUGGGAAGAGUUAUCUUUUCUCCUUUACAACUUAUAACCUUGGAAUCGGAUUAUCCGGAGAUAAGGUCUAAUGGUUGGUAGAGCACUGCUAUUCUGUAGUGUCCGGUGCGUCCUCAACGGCCCUUGAAAAUCCGAGGGAAUGAAAAAGUCUUACACUCGAUCGUACCCAUAUCCGCAUCAGGUCCCCAAGGUGAUC